rnacentral:misc_RNA from 1 species
ACCCAAUUCCCCACUAGGCAACUCAAUCCUAAGCAACUUAAUUUCAUCAAAAUUCUUCAGAACCUGCGUAGGGGAAUGAUGGGUAACAGAAUAUUUCUCAAAAUCAUCAUCAACAAGAGAGGAUGAAGCAGUACAUCGCCUUGAAGAAAUGGAGAUCAACUGAGUAAGGGAUUGAAAGGGUUUAACAAGACCAAGGAAUACAAGUCGAAAAAGGGAAGAAAUGGGGUGACG